GUAACCUCAGUAGGGUAGAGAGAGGAAAAAGGGGGGAAGAGGUAUUUAUGACUGUCAUAAACCUACCCCCCAGGCCAACGUCAUGACUGUGUCGAGUUCAAUUUUGCACUACGCAGCAUUACCUGUGGUACUUAGCUUAGGCCUAUGUUUGGAGAUAUCUUUAUUCACUAUGCAAAGCACAGAAAAAUGGAUAUUGGUAAAUACAUUUAAAGUGUAAGGUAUAUACCGGAUAGGUGUAAAAACGAGACUAGAGAGAACAAAAAAAAUGGACAAAUCACUACAUGUGUAUUGCACAGUCUGGAGGAUUAGAGCGAGUCAAUUGUGUAUUCAUGUUUUUUAUGCAGCCCUUGGAUAAUUUUUGCAAUAGCAGAUUUCUUCAGCAUCAUCUCAAUUUGUGUAAGAGGCAUAUUUCAAAUACUUUUGCAUCUCACAAUUCCCUGUUAAUAAACAUCAUAUGACAGGAAGGGAGGGGAAAUGUUUGAUCUACUUGACACGGUGCAGGUGCUAUCAAACUAACACAAUUUCACUUUUACUUUCUAUGGCUAGUGGUAACAGCACUUGGAGACUUCCUCUUCUUAUAAAGAUAUGAAAACAUCCAAUUUACUCAUCUUAUUUGAGUACAUUUUGGUAUUACAAUAGUACAUUAUCACUAGGUUUUAUUCAAACAGACAAUAGCAUUUGUGCUUUCAGGUGGUUCUGAGACUGUCACGAAUAUUACCGAAGGUGGCUCCCCUUCUUGUUCGGGUGGCGCUCGUCGUCGCCGGUCUACUAGCUGCUACCGUUUCUUUGUUCCGUGUUCGUUUGGUUUUGUCUAAUUGGUUUCACCUGUUUAUUGUUUGGUUGUUAGGGUGGUGUUAUUUAAGUUCGUUUAGCCCACUUCUGUUUGUGCGGGCUUGUUCUUCUGUAUUUGUGACAGGUGUUAGUGUUUUGUUGGGUUUUCUCGCUGUCCUGGUAUUUUACCUAAGGGUACUUAUUGUAGUAAUAGUUACGCCUAUGUAGGGUAAUACUAUUUUGUUAUUUUUGAUUUUGGACAUUAAAGCAUGUUUUUUCCUGCUUCCUUUGCUGCGCCGGACUACACACCCAUUCACUCAUUGAGCGUUACAGAGACAAGGCAGUGCUAGUGUUUCAGUGCCCUCCACAGGUGAAUUGUUAGUUCAACUGAGUUGGCUUGCCGCACAUUUGUAGAAAAUAAAUGUCUGUAAUUAACUACUAAAAAUAAAUAAUUAAAGAAUACAGACAGAUGAAAUAUGACUUAACCUGGUGUUAAAUGUGAGUUAUUCUGAUGUUUCUUCUUUCUUAGUGUUUUUCGCGUAACAUUACACAAAAACGAGCUGCAGCAUACGGGAAGACCAAAAUGUGUCAGGUUUGUUUUAGUUAUGCUUUCAAACCUAAAUCGACAGUCAGAUUACCAGUAACCUGCAUUACUCAGGAGCUGAGAUAAUAUUGCAAGUAGAGUUAACACCAAAGCAGUCAUAUUUUCUUUGUGUUAUAAUUAUGGCUAGGGGUCCGCUAGCGGCACCCCUCGACAACAUUCCUCUGAAAAGGCAGUGCGUGAAAUUCAAAAAUAUUUUUCAGAAAUAUGUAACUUUCACACAUUAACAAGUGCAAUACACCAAAUGAAAUAAACUUUUUUAGCCCCCAGGUGUUAUUUAUCAACUUCCACAAGAACUAUAAGCCAUAAAAUAAUACAAUUUAAAAAAUCUUUCUUCGUGUUUUUGGUCUGUAUAUCCCACUCAUACAUUUCCACCCUAAAUUAUGAAGAGUUUUUUUUUUUCUUAAAAAUGCUGCUGUUCUGGACAUUUGUAGGUGCACUAUCCUUCUGAACCUAUGCAGCCAGGUCCCAUCUACUUUUGAACUCCUCGCAACUGCAGAGGUCAAGACAACAACAAGCAUGUGCAGACCAUGCACAAGCUCCACCACAGUCUGGACCAUCAUUUCCUGAUCACAGGCCACACCAAGUUUGCCCCUGACUGGUGCUUCAGUCUCAUCAAGCAGCGCUUCAGAAAGACCAGAGUCAACACUGUCUGAGAUUGCUGGUGUUGUGAAGGACAGCACUGUGACAGGGGUCGACAUCCCACAGCUGGUUGGACUGGAGGAUGGUACGGUGCUGGUGGAAAGCUAUGGUUGGCAACAACACCUGACUCCGUAUUUCAGGCCGCUGACACAGAUCAAGCAGUACCAGCACUUCAGCUUCGGUGCUCUGGAGCCUGGUGUUGUUGUCACCAAGGAGCGUUCAAACUCAGUCGGGACUAGGUUUCAGAUGCUUGACAUCCUUCCUCCAUAGAUGGUCUGCCUGUACAAGCACCACCUGGACUGGAAACAGCUAGACAAACUUGUGUUUUUGAGAAGAUCAGGGAGUUUUGCAAUGAAGAGGCUAUGGACGUCACAUGACCUGCCCCAAAGGCAGGACAGAAAGAGGAUUUCCAAAUAUAGAUUCCCUUGUUCAUGCGUUGUUCGGAUGGACCAGUCAUCAGCACUAUCUGCAGUGCCUCUAUUCAAAUGACUCUCUCCUAUUCAAAUAACUCUCUCCUAUUCAAAUAACUCUCUCCUAUUCAAAUAACUCUCUCCUAUUCAAAUAACUCUCUCCUAAUAUGUUGCUGCUACUAUUUCUUUUUUUAUCCUGCUGCUCAGCCACUUAACCCCUGACUGUAUGCAUAUAAGACCAUCUCCACCACAUACCACAUCUAUCACUGAUAUUGAUAUUGUUCUUGUACUUACUGUAUAUUAUUUUAUUUAUAUUGACACUAUCUAUUUCUGAUAUUGCUACUCUGCAAGUAACCAUUUGGCUGUACCAUUUACACCUUCUGUAGAGACCCAUCCACUUCGCAAGAUGUGGCUGGGGAUUGGUUAUAGAAUUUCUUUCACAUGACCCAUCAAUUUAGACAAGUGUGUCUGGGUAAGCGUCAGUCUGGACACUUUGUUUACCCUGAUUUUUUCCCUUAUUGUAGGCUACUUCUUUUACCACUUUUAGUCUUCAUCUUUACUACACUACUCACUGUUUAGCACAUGACCUCACAUGUGAAUCCUUAAAGAGAUGGGUGUGGCUAAAGCUUAAGAGGGUGAACAAUGCUGAAUGGGUGUUGACAAAGGAGAGUUCUCCAGUAGGUACCAAAACAUUCAAAAGUGAGUUUACAAGUUAUUUGGUUGACGAUAUUUCUGAGAACAUUAAAGCCAGAUUAUCAAGUUAUUGAUAGUGUUGAAGUUUGUGACAUUAACACGUUGCCGUUCUCUUACCAGUGUGUAGUUAACAGAGUAUUCAACAAUAGCUGAAUCGGUUCGCCUUCAAAAUAAAUGUACCAAAUUGAAACUGUGAAACUGACCCAAAACGGAUACAAAUAGUGCUAUCAUUCCAUAAUUGGGUUAGAUCAUACUAAACAACUUUGGAAUGUUAUGUAAAUUCAACAAAAGACAAAUCAGUUUAUUUGAUUUUUAAAAUAAAUUAAACUGAGUUGAAACUGCACUGUUCAGACUUCAGAAUUGCAUUGGGAGGCAUACUUAUUUGAACUGUACAGCAUAACCUAUGGAUUGUGAGCUAUGCAAUGUGGUAUCAGACUAGUGACACCCACAGAACAAAACUCUGAUUAUGGGUAAAAACAUUGUCCGACUUGUGCCUACAUGAAUUUGACAAAAAUCAACUGAUCAUGGAGUUUUCACUGCAGUCAACUGCAAGUUUCUGCAGUCUCUCUUCGGCAACUUCAUCCUGCAUUGUGGGUGGCUCUAUUGUCACACAAUCAUUAGGGUGUUUUUGUUUGACCUACCCGAACGUGACCAAAAGAGGAAUCAACUUUGCACAAUACAUGUAUAAGGUUGAUAUGUUCAAAUUCACGUGAUGUGAGGCGCUCUCUCACCGAUUGAUUGUACAGUGUACACACCUAUAUUUUCAGUUUGUGAAUGCGUGAUGUGGGGGGGGUUUGAGACGUUCAUUUCGACAUUAUAAAGAACACAUUUAAUAAACAAUGACAACACAGCAAUGUUGCACUGAGUCUUGCUGUUGAAAACACAUUAGUGUACGACUUUCGCUUGUCGCAGAUGCACCUCCCCAACUUCACUCCUUGACUUUCGUCUAUAGUCGGUUGCUUUCACCUUACCACAAACAAUUGUGUUGCGCUCUGGAUUCAUUCCAAUGGGCGCUUGAAACAGUUCUUAAAGGUACAUUUCCUGAGGAAAAUGUGCCAGCUUGCAAGUAUUUUUUUCAUUAUGUUUCAGUUUUGCACAUGCCUGCAUAACAAAAAUAAUGUAAUAUAUACCCAUUGACUAAAUGUACAGAGAAACUACAUGAUCCUUGGAAUAUAAAAGUAUACUAAAGAAAGACUUGAACAUAUCUAGCUGUUAAUUCAUUUUUUUAUUCAGACAUUAUAGUUAAGUUAGAGUCAUGUAUCAUCAACAUGCAUUACAGUAUAUUUGACAUGGCCACUCCUCUUCAAACAUCUGUCAUGUUCAGUUCCUGUGUUCUCAGUAGAGGCGCGGUGUCAUCACUGCAGUGAAACGUUACUGGAAAUGAUGAAAAAUACAUCAUUGUCAUUAUUAGAUUUGAAACAGAAUUCAGUUUGGGUGUGAUGACAGCAUUGCUGCUAUAAGUA